rnacentral:misc_RNA from 1 species
UGUUCGUGGGCAAAUUCAUCGUAGCGUGGCAGAGCAUUUUCGCCUGCAAGAGGGACUUGCGCUUUAUGGGUGGCUUGAGCCACCUGCCGGACUAGCUUCUCAGGGGCACAGAGGGCAUCUUGUGGUUGCUCAUGGUCACGCAUCUCAAUGCAGGUGAAGUUGAAGAUGGCGCCAUGGCGGGCAAGCAUUUGGGCAAUUGGGAGAUAUCCAUCGCGGUACCGUGUGUUGUAAUAGCCUGCUGUGAGCUCUGGGGCAUGUGAGCG